UACGUAGGGUGCGAGCGUUGUCCGGAAUUAUUGGGCGUAAAGGGCUCGUAGGCGGUUUGUCGCGUCGGGAGUGAAAUCAUCUGGCUUAACUGGGUGCUUGCUUUCGAUACGGGCAGACUAGAGGUAUGCAGGGGAGAACGGAAUUCCGUGGUGUAGCGGUGAAAUGCGCAGAUAUCAGGAGGAACACCGGUGGCGAAGGCGGCUUGCUGGGCCUUACCUGACGCUGAGGAGCGAAAGCGUGGGGAGCGAACAGG
rnacentral:rRNA from 1 species